rnacentral:rRNA from 1 species
AGCAGCCGCGGUAAUUCCAGCUCCAAUAGCGUAUAUUAAAGUUGUUGCAGUUAAAAAGCUCGUAGUUGAAUUUCGGGAUUAGUACGUUGGUCGUGCCUUCGGUACGUACUGGUGUUACUGAUUCCUACCUUCUGACGAACCAUCAUGUCAUUAAUUUGGUGUGGCGGGGAAUCAGGACUGUUACUUUGAAAAAAUUAGAGUGUUUAAAGCAGGCUCGCGCUUGAAUACAUUAGCAUGGAAUAAUGAAAUAGGACGUUGACCCUAUUUUGUUGGUUUCUAGGAUUGACGUAAUGAUUAAUAGGGAUAGUUGGGGGCAUUAGUAUUCAAUUGUCAGAGGUGAAAUUCUUGGAUUUAUUGAAGACUAACUACUGCGAAAGCAUUUGCCAAGGAUGUUUUCAUUAAUCAAGAACGAAAGUUAGGGGAUCGAAGACGAUCAGAUACCGUCGUAGUCUUAACCAUAAACUAUGCCGACUAGGGAUCGGAUGAUGUUAUUUUUAAUGACUCAUUCGGCGCCUUACG